rnacentral:lncRNA from 1 species
UUGAAAUGGAUUGUGCUAAUCUUAUGGAGAAUUUGAAUUGAACAUUGUGUUCUUUUCUCAGAUAAGUGGAACCAGUUUCCCAAUCGGUGGAGACAAUGGUAUGAUGGGUGCAGAUAAUGAGAGGGCUGAAGGGCCGCAGACUAUGCUUUUGGUGGAGGAGGGCAUUAGGAAGGUUGACACGGAGUUUGCUUGCAUCUCAUACUUAACACCAUGGCGCUGGUGCAACCAAGCUGUAAGAUGGCUGGCAUGGAAGACUGGUACCACACUUGCUGGGCUCGUGUUACCAGAUACAUGGAGCUGGGAGAAAAUUGUCGGAUCACCUGCUGUUCAAGGCAGAGAUAGGCUCCAUGGCUCAGGCUCAUUCCGAUGGAGAGUUGAGGUACCUCCAAUUACUCUGAGGAUGGAAUGCAUAAAGAAAGAAGCAUGGAACCCCGAAGAAGGUGGUAAGGUUGAGCAUGUAUUGGAGGUUGUUGUUGGCAUGGGAGGUCUGCCGACUAUGGAUGAUGAUUACUUCCUCCCCGUGGUAGGGUUGAAUAAGUAUCCUGGACCUUACAAGACCCAGAUGCUCGGACUGACGGAGUAUGUCAAACCCCUGACCGCCAUAGAGACAGCCAGGCUUAUUCGUCAGAGAGGGCCGAUCAUUGGUGCACUGGCGGUUAACCCACCCCACUACUUCUCUUAUCGGGCGGAUGCAAAACAGCGAGCCAAAAGAGUGUACAGAGGCUGUCCCGAGUCUGCAAUAAUUGCCCGUAAGGCGGCCUGGCACGCAGUUGUCUGUUUUGAGAAUAGGUUCGUGAAGAGUUUGAUUGGAGAAGAGCUUCAGCUGAAGAUUAUGGACAGCCACAGCCCAGACGGACCUCGGAGGUGGAUCUGUUUUGAUGCCUUCGACAGGUUCUGUCUGCCAGUCAUUUGCCGGCCGCCGUGUCCCCGCCCGUCGUCAUCGGAAUAGAUCUGUUCUUACCUGUGUAGAGUAACUCUGUCUGUUGGGGUAGUCGCUUCUUCUUAUCCUACCCCUGCUUCUUAACUCACUGCAGAAGGGCAGAGCAUGUACCUGGGAAGCUUCAUCUUGUCUUCCCUCGGUGCGUACUUAAUGCAAACGUUAUUACAUUUACAUGAGUACCUGCUGCUUCUUCUUCUUCCAGUGCGAUGCAUCAACUGUAUUGGAGUAGCUGUU